rnacentral:tRNA from 1 species
GGUUAGUAGCUCAGUGGUAGAGCACUCACCUAGCAUGUGUGAGGCCCUGAGUUCAAUCCACAGCACCA